CGCGUUAGCUACGUUACUCAGGAUGUAAAUCCCGAACAACUAGUCAGCAUCGUUUAGGGCGUGGACUACCAGGGUAUCUAAUCCUGUUUGCUCCCCACGCUUUCGUGCAUGAGCGUCAGUGUUAUCCCAGGGGGCUGCCUUCGCCAUUGGUAUUCCUCCACAUAUCUACGCAUUUCACUGCUACACGUGGAAUUCUACCCCCCUCUGACACACUCUAGCUAUACAGUCACAGGCGCCAUUCCCAGGUUAAGCCCGGGGAUUUCACGCCUGUCUUGUAUAACCGCCUGCGCACGCUUUACGCCCAGUAAUUCCGAUUAACGCUCGCACCCUACGUAUUACCGCGGCUGCUGGCACGUAGUUAGCCGGUGCUUAUUCUUCAGGUACCGUCAUUCCCGGACUGUGUUAGAGCCGGUGUUUCUUCCCUGACAAAAGAGCUUUACAACCCGAAGGCCUUCUUCACUCACGCGGCAUUGCUGGAUCAGGGUUUCCCCCAUUGUCCAAAAUUCCCCACUGCUGCCUCCCGUA
rnacentral:rRNA from 1 species